rnacentral:lncRNA from 1 species
CUUUUAUAACUCCAUCUUCCUCCUCCAACCGAUUAGCUACAAACAUGGCAGUCAUGAAGAUUUUUGGAACGCCUUUAUCUGUGAACGUAGCACGAGUGAUCGCCGUAAUGAAUGAGAAGAACCUGGAAUACGAACUCGUCGAUGUAAAUCUUCACAACGGUGACCAUAAAAAGGAGCCUUUCCUCUCCAUGAAUGUAAGCUUUGUUGUUAAUUUUCUCCCUUUCUUUUGACAAAUGCUUUGGAAUGGUUAAUCCUGAUUAUAAGGUCUAAAUUUGUUUUUCAGCCAUUCGGACAAGUUCCUGCUUUCCAGGAUGAUGACAUCAAGCUCUUUGGUAAAAAAAUAAAAAACAAUCUUUAUUUCUUCUUUCUAUUCUUAUAAAUAGAUUUAUAUUUGAUUCUUAAAUCAAUUCAUAUGCCAGAAUCAAGAGCGAUCUGCAAUUACAUCGUUUUCAAAUAUAAGACAGAAGGCACUGACCUUACUCACCUUGCUGACCUAAAAGAAGGUUCGAUAGUAGGUGUGUGGUGCGAAGUAGAGGCACACCAGUUCAACCCUUUGGUCAGUGGUAUAAUGUAUGAGUACAUCUUCACGAAAUUCUUGGGAGGCGAGACAAAUGAAUCCAAGAUUGAAGAAUAUUGCGCAAAGCUCACGACUGUGCUUGAUGUCUAUGAAGAGAGGCUCAAGACCUGCAAGUACUUGGCUGGUGACAAAUUCUCAAUGGCCGAUCUACAUCACUGUCCCUAUUUGGAAUUAUUCAUGAAGACGCCAAAGGCUGAGAUGGUCACUUCAAGGCCUCACGUGUUAGCUUGGUGGCAGGAUAUCUCCAGCCGUCCGGCAUGGGUGAAAGCCUCCAGUGGUAUGCAAAUUCCGUCGGCCUAGAAGUGCUUAGAUGGAAUGGAUAAUUCAUCGUGUUGUAUCGAGGAGUAAUAAUAGUAAAUAAAACGACAACAUGAGAAUAUAUAUAUAUUGUGAUUUGAAUCCUAUAUAUACAUGGUUAUUGUGACCAGUUGAGUUAAUCUUUUGUAUAUUUAUAUAGGAUGCACUUUAAGUGCACCGUAUAUUGAAUGCAUCACUGUCUGUUAUCAAAUUGUGACCAUUAGUAUUUAAUUUAAUGACUAAAAUAACGUACUGAAUAAGACAUUAACACAUGUACGACGCAAAAUGAUGUAUUGCAUAAGAUACUAACACAUGUACGACGUAAAAUCGAUUUAAUGGACAUGAUCAAUUUGGUACAUAUAACAUUCGUACUGUACGACGUAAAAUUGAUUUAAUGGACAUAAUCAACUUGGUACAUAUAACAUUUGCACUCCGCAUCUAAAUGCUACUGUUAAAGUAUUUAUAGUUUUUAGAAAGAGAUGAUUCAUAUAAUAUCAACAUAAUUUUGGACUUUCUUGGUAAAUACUACCUUCCUUAUCUAGCCAGUCCUCACUCUUCUGUUUCCAAGGUUUCUUCGGGAAAGCCAAACAGAAAACAUGGGCGGGAUGAAGCUUUACGGGAUGCCGAUGUCGACGAACACAGCGCGUGUGAUCGGUGUGUUGAAUGAAAAGAAUGUGGAGUAUGAAUUUAUCCUUGUGAAUCUCGGUAAAGGUGAGCAUAAACUGGAGAGUUUUCUCGCUAUUAACGUAAGUUUUCCCCCCUUUCUGGAUCCGGUGCUUUGAUUUCUAGGUUUUUGUUUGAUUUUUUUUUUUUUUAAUUAUUUUGCAGCCUUUCGGACAGAUUCCUGCUUUUGAAGACGGGGAUCUGAAGCUUUUUGGUAAGAAUCACUGCUGUAGAAUGAAAAAAAUAGGGUUGUGUAAUGCUAUUUUACCUAACAACACUGACGAUUUUUUUCGACUUUAACUAAGAACACAGCUUCCACUGGAAUUAACAUCUUUUUAUACUUGGAAUUCGAUUUUUAAAUAAUGAAGUCAUCAAUAUUAGUGCUACUUUAUUAUAAUUUAUAUGUAGUUAGUUGUGCUUAAAUGUAACUAAUUACAUUUAUAAAUCCUAAAACCUAAACUAAUUAUUGCAAUUUUUGUUAUUAACCCAUGACAUUAAAAUUGGAAAAUAAGAUAAAGAAAGAAUUGAAGAUAAAUCUCAUCUUACUGAAAAGUCUGAAAUAUUAAAUAUCUCAUGAUUUUUUUAAUGGAAAACACAUUAUAGAAAAAGUUACUGGUUAUUUUUUGAUUUAGAUAACUAUUUCGUAUUUUCAUUUGAUGUUUUUGCCUAUUGGAUUUAAUUCUCAAUCAUUUCAAUGACUUGAUCUUGAAUUUUAGAUCUUGGGCGUUUGUUUAUAUUUUUUUUGGAUUUUUCUCUAAUUCACCUACAUUAAAUUUGUAGUAGAAAAAAACAUCUUGAAUUGUUUAUUUUUUUACCAGAAUCAAGAGCCAUCACCAAGUACAUUGCUUAUAAGUACAUGUCUGAAGGAACAGACCUUCUCCACAUGGGUGACUUAAAUGAAGGUGCCACAGUAGAUCUCUGGGUCGAAGUAGAAGCACAACAAUACAAUCCUCAAAUAUCUGUGAUAGUGUAUGAGUGCUUGAUUAAGAAAUUAUUCGGUGAUGUAACCGAUGAAACCAAGGUUGAAGCUUGUUGUGCAAAGGUUGCACCCAUUCUUGAUGUGUAUGAAGAUAGACUCAAGACCUGCAAGUAUUUGGCUGGGGAAAAAUUCUCGCUUGCCGAUCUAAAUCACUGUGCUUACACUGAGUAUCUUAUGAGGACACCUAAAGCUGAUCUUAUAACG